rnacentral:rRNA from 1 species
AUUGAACGCUGGCGGCAUGCCUUACACUUGCAAGUCGAACGGCAGCACGGGAGCAAUCCUGGUGGCGAGUGGCGAACGGGUGAGUAAUAUAUCGGAACGUGCCCAGUCGUGGGGGAUAACGCAGCGAAAGCUGUGCUAAUACCGCAUACGAUCUAUGGAUGAAAGCGGGGGAUCGCAAGACCUCGCGCGAUUGGAGCGGCCGAUAUCAGAUUAGCUAGUUGGUGAGGUAAAGGCUCACCAAGGCGACGAUCUGUAGCUGGUCUGAGAGGACGACCAGCCACACUGGAACUGAGACACGGUCCAGACUCCUACGAGAGGCAGCAGUGGGGAAUUUUGGACAAUGGGCGCAAGCCUGAUCCAGCAAUGCCGCGUGCAGGAUGAAGGCCUUCGGGUUGUAAACUGCUUUUGUACGGAGCGAAAAGGCUUCUCCUAAUACGAGGGGCUCAUGACGGUACCGUAAGAAUAAGCACCGGCUAACUACGUGCCAGCCGCCGCCGUAA